AUUCGAGUGCUGAAAUUGGUAUACAGAGUAAGCUAAGGACUUAUAUGGUGGAGGUUCGAGUCCUCCUUCGAAUA
rnacentral:tRNA from 1 species